GCUCCGCCCGGUGCCGCCCCAUCCGCCCGGCGAGGAGCGGGGGGACCCCGGACGGAGCAGGCGGGCCAGCCCCGAGCCGAGAUGGGGGCAGCUGGGAUUUGGGGGGACGGUGGGAAAGGAAUGGGAGAGGGAAGAUGACGGGAGGUGGCACAGCGGAGGGGUGUUCCAGCAGACAGGAAAGGCCAAGUUGCCACUUCCAGAAUGGCAUUCCGAAGUGGAGUUGGACAGGAACAGCUUGUGCACUCCGUUGGGAACCCGCUCUGCAUCAUCCUCUGGUGAUUCUCUACCUCUCACCCAGCUCCAGGCUCUGGAAAUUCUCUUCUGUCUGCAUUCAUCACUCACCAGCACCGGCACACAGGGAAAUAGCCUUGCAAGUGUGAGGAAUGUGGGAAGAGGGUUCAGAUCAUCUCAGAUCUCAUGAAACAUCAGUGGACACUCUCGGGAAAAUAUCUUCUCAGCCUUGACAAACAGCCCUUGGCUCAAUUCCUCUUGAGUUUAUCACCAACAUCAUCUGUUCUAGGAACUGGUGCUGUACAAUGAGCUCCAACAGCCUUGGAAACUUUUUUUUUUCUGAAUAACAUCCCAAAUGGGAUCAUAUUUUAGUUCUCAACCUUUUCCAGAAAGUCACCAACCUGAGCUGCGGCUAGGAUGGAAAAUGUCUGUGACUAAAGCCCAUCCCAUAUGAACAGCAGCCCUGAGUGAAACCCUUGGGCUCCUGGGCAGCAGCAGCUUCAACAGCAGCCAGGAACUCUCCCUUUUGCUGCCCUCAGGCUAUCCCCGAAUGGUCCUGGGCUGAGCCCCCCCACUCCUCGAGGCUCUGCCCUGCACCUGGUGGGGAGAUGCAAAGGCAUCUGAAGGGAGAAUUCCAUGGGAAUUUCCCACAGCGACCCCGUACAGACUCCUCCUGUCCAUGUGUGUGUGACACUGAAUAUGCCAUAGAAAUGUCCUGAGAAUGCUGCUCUCCUGGAGUAGGAAGUACGUAAGAUUUGUAAGUCAGUCGGGCCUGUGGGUGUGUUCCUGUUGUGGUGUAAUAAAUUCUAUGUGAAGUUACUGAUUAAGUUUCAGUUAAGUACUGUUAAGUUUAAGUUAAGUGCUAUUGGGCCUUUAAGCAUAAACUGUUCAAAUCCAGGUUCAGUUCUGUACAGGGGUCUACUCUGACCCUUGUGACUCAACACUGGCGUCUUGCAUAUUCCUUUUUAUCCUUACCCUUUUCUGGGUUUUUUUCCCCCCUCCCUACUCCCUCCCCCAGAAAUUCUUGAGCUACAUAAAUAGUUUAGGGCUUAUUUCAGUUUGGAUUUAUUGAUUUUGGAUUUUUGUUUCCUUUAUCUUGGUGUGCUUUAACCAAGUAAUCCCCUCCUCCUCUAUCCCUCCUUCUCCUCCUCCUCCUCCUCCAUCCCUUCUCUUCUCCCCAGGACCAGCACCCACCCUUGUUCUCCUGUGUCUCCCAUGCAUCCUACUGGAGGUGGAGGGAUGGAGCUGGGGCAGGUCCGACUGGGGCAGCGCUGGGCUCUGAGCUGCUCCUGCCCACACUCGGCCCCCACCACAGCUGCCACUGCCAGGACAGCAUAGGGGGCCCAGGCUGGAUGGCCUCUGUCUUCUCCCUCCCCAAAUUCCCCUCCUGGGGGGCACUGAAGGUGAAGGGUUGCAGGUGGGGUCCACAUGGGGAAUGUUGGGCACUGAGGGUCUGCCUGGCAACUGGUGAGUCGUCAGCCAAAGCCCUGCAGAACUGGGGAGAUCCCGCAACCCCUUCAGGAAUGGGGUAUCCCCUGGCCUCAUCAUCCCAAACCUUCAGCUGUCUCGUUUCAGACCCCAUCCCACCCCUCCCAAUUCACAUCCCACUUCUCCCAAAUCCCAUCUCACCCCUCCCAAUCCCUAUCCCAUCUGCCCCAGUCCAUAUCCCACCUCUCUCGAUUCACAUCCCACCCCUCCCUCCCUUCCUUCCCCUCCAGGGUUUGGAGCGCUGUGGGAUUGAAUACUUUUGGGGUGGUAUUUAGUCAUUUUGAGGUGGGAUUGAGACAUUUUGGGCUUGGAUGGAGACACUUUCAGUGGCCACCUUCCUUGAGUGGUUUUGAAGUGAUGGAUAGAACCCCUCACCUUUUGGGGUGCAAAAUAAUGGAGGAAACUACUCCAAAUUCCCUCAAAAACCCCAAAUCCUCCUGAAUAUCUCCCAGACUACAAAUUCCUCCCCAGUCCCUGUAAAAUGGUGAGGUUUUGCACAUCUUUAAUGAAGUUCUUCAUUUUUACCCAAUUUUGGGUGUUUUUAAAAGAUGGAUCACAAGCAAAUAAAGGCCAAAAUCAAGGAA